GGGCCCAUAGCUCAGUUGGUUAGAGCGGCGGACUCAUAAUCCGCUGGUCGUAGGUUCAAGUCCUACUGGGCCCACCA
rnacentral:tRNA from 1 species